UUUGUCCUUUCUUCUUCUGCUUGCAGGCUUACCUAUACAUGCACAUUCGCAACAAGGAGUUUCCAUGGGGUCCAGAUGGCCUUUUUGAGGUCAAGCACCACUGAAACUGCAUGGUUUUUCUGUGAAGGCAUCAAAAUAAUUCCUGUCCAUUUGAGAAUAUCUUCACAUCUGUGGUGUAAGCUGUUGAAUUUUCAUUGAAUGUCUUCUGUUGGUUCUUUUCAGUAUAAGAAACCAUUGCCUUUACUUUGGCGUAUCUGUAUUUUGCAGUAUACUCUUGGGUUCUUGCAAAGUGCUUUCUAAAGAAUAAGAAUUGAGGGAUGAUUAAGUCGUUCCAGUUAUUCUUUUCAAUAUAGUUGCUCUUAAAUGCCUCA